GCUUGUCUCAAAGAUUAAGCCAUGCAUGUCUUAGUGUAAAUAACUCUUAUGAAACUGCGAAUGGCUCAUUAAAACAGUUAUAGUUUACAUGAUAAUCGAAUUUACAUGGAUAACCGUGGUAAUUCUAGAGCUAAUACAUGCUGGCGUGCCCGACUUUUGCGGAAGGGCGGUAUUUAUUAGAUAACAAGCCAAUAUUCCUUCGGGUCUAUUGUGGUGAUUCAUAAUAACUGAUCGAAUCGCAAGGCCCUUGGCCGCGAUAAGUCAUUCAAGUUUCUGCCCCAUCAGCUUUCGAUGGUAGUGUAUUGGACUACCAUGGCGUUCACGGGUAACGGAGAAUUAGGGUUCGAUUCCGGAGAGGGAGCCUGAGAAACGGCUACCACAUCUAAGGAAGGCAGCAGG
rnacentral:rRNA from 1 species